rnacentral:rRNA from 1 species
UACGGAGGGUGCAAGCGUUGUCCGGAAUCAUUGGGUGUAAAGGGUACGUAGGCGGGAGCCUAAGUCUGGGGUGAAAUCUUGCCGCUUAACGGUAAAAUGGCCUUGGAUACUGGGUUUCUUGAGUGCAGAAGAGGCAGGUGGAAUUCGUGGUGUAGCGGUGAAAUGCUUAGAUAUCACGAAGAACAUCAGUGGCGAAGGCGGCCUGCUGGUCUGCAACUGACGCUGAGGUACGAAAGCGUGGGGAGCGAACAGG